rnacentral:rRNA from 1 species
UGGGGAAUAUUGCACAAUGGGCGAAAGCCUGAUGCAGCGACGCCGCGUGGGGGAUGAAGGCCUUCGGGUUGUAAACCCCUUUCAGUAAGGAACAAGGCCAUGCUUUUGUGUGGUUGAGGGUACUUGCAGAAGAAGCGCCGGCUAACUACGUGCCAGCAGCCGCGGUAAUACGUAGGGCGCAAGCGUUGUCCGGAAUUAUUGGGCGUAAAGAGCUCGUAGGCGGCUUGUCGCGUCUGCCGUGAAAGUCUAA